UACGUAGGCAGCAAGCGUUGUUCGGAGUUACUGGGCGUAAAGGGUGUGUAGGCGGUUAUUUAAGUUUGGUGUGAAAUCUCCCGGCUCAACCGGGAGGGUGCGCCGAAUACUGAAUGACUUGGAGUGCGGGAGAGGAAAGUGGAAUUCCUGGUGUAGCGGUGAAAUGCGUAGAUAUCAGGAGGAACACCGGUGGUGUAGACGGCUUUCUGGACCGUAACUGACGCUGAGACACGAAAGCGUGGGUGGCAAACAGG
rnacentral:rRNA from 1 species